rnacentral:tRNA from 1 species
AGGUUUUACUGGGAAAAAAAGUUUUGAAAACUUAAUAGAAGUGUUCGAAUCACUUAAAAACUU